AGGAGUCGCAUGACUCUUGUGUCGCAAGUGUUAUCUGUUGGAAAAACCCAGAUGGUCUAAAAGAUUGUGUCACACAGCCAGUAUAAAUAAGGCUGCUUUUUCAGUGUUAGUUGUUGCAUCUUGAUUCAAGAUUUUUGCGUGCAUCCCUGAAGGUAAUCAUUCUUCAGUCCAGCUUGCUGGAAAAGCUUUUUGAUCUAACUGCUUAGCUGUAUGAUGUUAACUUAACAUGCUCUUAACAAGACAAGGUUAAAUUUUCAUUUGAUGCUUGAACUGUGUAUGCUAAAACCUUUGUGACUGAACCACUUAUACAGGACUGCCCUGUUAAGUUGGGAGAUACUGAGGAAUUAUAAUCUGUAACCUUUUCUUUUGUUGCUACUAUUACCACACAUUUUGUAACCAGUGUUAUAAUCGUUUGUAUAAAUAAAUUUUCAUUUUAUAGAGACAAAAGUGGUAUAGUUUUUUACCCCAGGUCACAAUACCAGUUCUAUAAGCAACAAUAAGAGCAUUAGAUCAAUUCUUGCGAGAGCAAGAGGUCACCAGGACUCCACGGAAGUAUCUCCACGGAGGUGUCAAAAUAGGCCCAUCCGAGAAUGGCAUUGGCUGUGCUUUUCUACUAAGAACAUUGCUAAUUAUGAAAUAUCCUUUUUUAUUACUCUGCAUCAGCUAUUUUGUACAUACCUCAUGUCUGAGACAAUGGUCUUGCUUUGCAAACAUGUAGUGUGCUUAGAGGGAAGUCAGCAUAAAAAGACUAUAAAAAGAGAAAGGAAGAUUCAUUUCCCGCAAUCAACACUUUGACAUGCCAGCAGUUGUCAGAGGCGAGAAGCUUCAAGGCUAGCUAGUAUCUAUCUGUUAGUUAGUACUCAUUUUAAUCUGUAACAAGUAAUAAUUUUUUAUUUGAUUAUCGUACUAAAUUUUGCAAACUUUUAUUAUAAUCAUCUAACUGGACCUUGGAUCAUUGAAGUCUUCUCAUCGGGACAGAAGGGCCCUUUCUGAAAACACCGAUUUCAGUGGGUGAGCAUUCUUUUGAGAGAAGAAUAACCACUGUGAUAUUUGAUUGAUCAAACAGCCUAGCCAAAGAGGCACCAUAUAACAUGUGUGUAUGUAUAAGGAUAUAUAUAACAAGUUGUUAUAUUGCAAACACGGUUGAAGAGUACCAAAAGGGUAGACUUAUAAUAUAGAGGGGAAAUCUAUUAUUUCAAUAACAGAAUACAAAUUUAUAUAGACUGAUCACCUAACUCUUGAGGACACGACUAAAGGAUAGGCUCUUUAGUUACCGCGAGAUUAUAUUAAUAUCAAGGACGGGAUAUUUUAUCAUUUAUAACAGUAUUAAUCGUGAAAAUCCAUCACAACGGGUACUUCUCUGUCACAUACUCUAGCCUAGUAUGAAGUGUCUAGGUAGACGUAUUGCAUUCGUCUUCUUUGUUUCUUUCAACUUAUUCUUUUUUUCUUUGAACUUCAUCAACUGAGAAACAAAAUAUUUGUUGCAUCAGUUUGAGCAAUAUAUGGCUACAUUAAUAUGGAUUGAAAUACAGGUUUGAGUCUUGAAAUGUUCGAUUCAGUUAUAGAAUGUGAUUGUCACUCCUAUAAACAACUGAACUGUGUGUGAACAACAUAACUGUAUUAAGGACUCAAGUACAGAAAUGACAACCGUAUCAGUUGCUGUGUGAACGCACACAUGUUAAAAUGUGACAAUGAAUCUUAAGUAGUAGUUUAUAUCAGCUCAAGUUUGCUUUGUGUGGAUGUAUUCCAGUGAUGUGCUGCCACUCAGCCUUGAAGGAAAAAAUAUAGUGUCUAUGUUUUAUCUAAUGUUGUGUCUACAGGGGUUGUAUAUGUAUAUGAUAACCAUGUGAGGAUGUCAAAACAACAGCCUUCAGGAGAAUCAGAGGAAAUAGAUGAGUCUUGCAGUGGCCACAGCACGGAGUAAGCGAUCUGUUGCGGAGAGUAGAACAGAGGAGCCAAACAGCAGGUCGGCUGGGAAGAGUGCUGAAUCUGAGAUCCAAAUUCAUCCAUGAUGUACCACACAGGCACCUUUUCUUCUGCAGACUGCAACAGCAUUGUUAUAAUCAAAUCACAAUCAGGAGCAACAUCAUAUCUCACACUUAGAGAUAGAUUAAAGGGGUAUAUGUAGAAUUCAGAAACCCUUGUUCACCAGCAUCAUGUCUAUAUACAGUAUCUGGUUAUGCGACCGAGACUACUGUAUAGUUUGAAUGAAUUCCUUUUCUUUUAAUGACAUUACAGAAUGGCUAUUUCAGCAUUAUCCUGAACAUAAGGAUUCAUUGUGUGUGUCUUAGAACGGAAGAGAGGAUCUCGAGAUGUAAACAUGAUAAAACAUCACAUGCUUAUGA